AUUGAACGCUGGCGGCAGGCCUAACACAUGCAAGUCGGACGGUAGCACAGGGGAGCUUGCUCCUCGGGUGACGAGUGGCGGACGGGUGAGUAAUGUCUGGGGAUCUGCCCGAUAGAGGGGGAUAACCACUGGAAACGGUGGCUAAUACCGCAUAAUGUCGCAAGACCAAAGAGGGGGACCUUCGGGCCUCUCACUAUCGGAUGAACCCAGAUGGGAUUAGCUAGUAGGCGGGGUAACGGCCCACCUAGGCGACGAUCCCUAGCUGGUCUGAGAGGAGUACAAGCAACACUGGAAAGGAGACACGGUCCAGACUCCUACGGGAGGCAGCAGGGGGGAAUAUUGCACAAUGGGCGAAAGCCUGAUGCAGCCAUGCCGCGUGUAUGAAGAAGGCCUUCGGGUUGUAAAGUACUUUCAGCGGGGAGGAAGGCGAUGUGGUUAAUAACUGCGUCGAUUGACGUUACCCGCAGAAGAAGCACCGGCUAACUCCGUGCCAGCCGCCGCCGUAA
rnacentral:rRNA from 1 species